CGCACAUUGCGCCCUAUGGUAUUCCGUAGGGCAUGCCUGUUCGAGCGUCAUUUGACCUCUUCAAGCCUUGCUUGGUGUUGGGCGCUUGUCCCUGUUGUGGACUCGCCUUAAAAGCAUUGGUAGCCAUCACUCCGGCUGUAGCGUAGCACAAAUACGCGAAUUUUGCUGGCUUGUGAAAUAGCUUCCUAAAGCACAACCUCAUGGUUGACCUCGGAUCAGGUAGGGAUACCCGCUGAACUUAA
rnacentral:misc_RNA from 1 species